rnacentral:lncRNA from 1 species
GACCCUGAUACAAACACCCGCACAGUCAGGGAAGACUUCCAAGAAGAGGAGCGGGGAAGACCAGGCUCAACAGGCGGGAGCACAGCAUUCCAGCCUCUUCUUGGUCAACUAGAGAUCCAUUUGGUCCUCAAGAAGCUGACUCCACGCCUGCCCCAGGGAUAAGCCAAUCAGCAUACUGCAUCCUCUAACCACUGAGAUUGCUCAGAGUGUGACAUGUGACUUUAACUAGUCCAAUGAGAUUGACUUCUGAAACUUUUGCUGGAAUGCUGGGA